GACGAACGCUGGCGGCGUGCCUAAUACAUGCAAGUCGAGCGGACCGGGUUGGGGCUUGCCUUGAUCCGGUCAGCGGCGGACGGGUGAGUAACACGUGGGCAACCUGCCCGCAAGACCGGGAUAACUCCGGGAAACCGGAGCUAAUACCGGAUAACACCGAAGACCGCAUGGUCUUCGGUUGAAAGGCGGCCUUUGGGCUGUCACUUGCGGAUGGGCCCGCGGCGCAUUAGCUAGUUGGUGAGGUAACGGCUCACCAAGGCGACGAUGCGUAGCCGGCCUGAGAGGGUGACCGGCCACACUGGGACUGAGACACGGCCCAGACUCCUACGGGAGGCAGCAGUAGGGAAUCUUCCGCAAUGGGCGAAAGCCUGACGGAGCGACGCCGCGUGAGCGAAAAAGGCCUUCGGGUCGUAAAGCUCUGUUGUGAGGGACGAAGGAGCGCCGUUCGAAGAGGGCGGCGCGGUGACGGUACCUCACGAGAAAGCCCCGGCUAACUACGUGCCAGCCGCCGCCGUAA
rnacentral:rRNA from 1 species